rnacentral:rRNA from 1 species
UACGGAGGGGGCUAGCGUUGUUCGGAAUUACUAGGCGUAAAGCGCACGUAGGCGGACUGUUAAGUCGGGGGUGAAAUCCUGGGGCUCAACCUCAGAAUUGCCUCCGAUACUGGCAGUCUCGAGUGCGGGAGAGGUGAGUGGAAUUCCCAGUGUAGAGGUGAAAUGCGUAGAUAUCUGGAGGAACACCGGUGGCGAAGGCGACAUCCUGGACCGGUAUUGACGCUGAGGCGCGAAAGCCAGGGGAGCAAACGGG